rnacentral:lncRNA from 1 species
UAUGCAAGUUAAUAUCUAUAAGUGAUAUGCCUAUAUGGUAUGAGUAUGUGUGAAAGUUAUGGAAAGACAUUUGUUUGUAAAAUGUAUUAUGUGACACUGUACAAGCAUGUGCAGAAGUUUGUUUGUACAAUAAAUAUUACUAUGAAUGUUAAUGUGGGUACUUCAGAAGAAUGAGUAGGUGUAGGUGUGUGUGUGUGUCUUUGUCAAUAUAUAGGUACUUCAACACUUUUACACUACAUUUGUGUACAUUGAGUACAAACUUUGGCAGGCAAAGGUCACGACUUGAUACUUAUCUGGGUCAAAUCAAUAACAAAUUUAAUUAAGAUUGAAAGUGCAACUAUGACAAAUUUAUUUACACUCCAACUUACGUUUUCGCAUUAUUAUUACAAGCUUUCAAAACCACAUAUAAAUUCAUAAUCAAAAUUCCCGAAACACUUCAAAAAAUAUUGUCCCAACACGAGAAUCAGAAAAGUCGUGCGAGGUCACUGACCGCAAUUCGCGGUGAUUAGACAAUAAAAGAACCCCAAAAGUCAUUCCGGAUGAAUUAUCAAUUUCCAUAAAAAAAUAUUGUGUAGAUAUUUUUUAUGAAUUCAUCCGAAAAUAAUUUUUGUGAAGUAGCAAAGACUAUUUGUAACAACUAUAAUUACAGUUUAAUGUGUUGAGAUAAUUAAACCAAUGUAUUUUAUUGGUUAAUUUUACUGAAUAUUAUCCCAGGGUAUUCAGUAGUAAUUUAACUGGGAAACUUGAUGACACGCUGUAACAGCAAUAUGUGCAAAAGAGAAUCAAUCAGUGUUAAAAAAAAUUGACAUAUCUCUACGAAUGAUAGCAAAACCGUCAUCUCGAAUGACUGCUUAACAUAAGGUUCCUGACAUGAAGGACAUGUACAACCAAAUGCAACGGAUUUCAACAUUUAUACAACUUUCACCGAAACCUGAAACAGUUGUGCCAUCAUAACAUAGAAAGACAUAUUAAAAUACUGUGAACUUGAAAAACUCGACCAAAACGAAAUAUUAACAAAACAAGUAAAUAAAUUUGAUCCAUGACAGCUUAUUUGAUACUCGACUGAAGUCAACCCAUUAUAGUAAGAACAUUUAAGAUCAGAGGAAAUGUACUUGUGAUUGAUUCACAAAUGUCAUGAUUGAAAAUAAUUGAACGGCAUCACUUUAUAUGUAUUUGUUUUAGUCUGUUGUAGUUUACUGCUACCUUGCAUUGAAAUAAUCAUAAUAAAAACAUAAUGCAAUAAGAUGACUAAAAAGAACUAUCAAUAUGCUCUGAAUACUGUUUGUGUGUGUAUCGAAUCGUAUCGCAUUCAGCUAAAAAUGUCAAAAUAAAAUGAUUCAAUAGUAG